AUCCUGGCUUAGGACGAACGCUGGCGGCGUGCCUAAUACAUGCAAGUCGAACGGUCUUCUCUAUGGAAGCUUGCUUCCACUGAGAAGAUAGUGGCGAACGGGUGAGUAACACGUGGGUAACCUGCCCAUAAGAGGGGGAUAACAUCCGGAAACGGGUGCUAAUACCGCAUAGUUUUCUUGAUCGCAUGAUCGGGAAAGGAAAGACGGCCUUUGUGCUGUCGCUUAUGGAUGGACCCGCGGCGUAUUAGUUAGUUGGUGAGGUAACGGCUCACCAAGACGAUGAUACGUAGCCGACCUGAGAGGGUGAUCGGCCACAUUGGGACUGAGACACGGCCCAAACUCCUACGGGAGGCAGCAGUAGGGAAUCUUCCGCAAUGGACGAAAGUCUGACGGAGCAACGCCGCGUGAGUGAAAGAAGGUUUUCGGAUCGUAAAACUCUGUUGUCAGAGAAGAACAAGUUGGAGAGUAACUGCUCCAGCCUUGACGGUAUCUGACCAGAAAGCCACGGCUAACUACGUGCCAGCCGCCGC
rnacentral:rRNA from 1 species